UUAAGCGACUAAGCGUACACGGUGGAUGCCCUGGCAGUCAGAGGCGAUGAAGGACGUGCUAAUCUGCGAAAAGCGUCGGUAAGGUGAUAUGAACCGUUAUAGCCGGCGAUGUCCGAAUGGGGAAACCCAGUGCAAUUCGUUGCACUAUCGUUAACUGAAUACAUAGGUUAACGAGGCGAACCGGGGGAACUGAAACAUCUAAGUACCCCGAGGAAAAGAAAUCAACCGAGAUUCCCCCAGUAGCGGCGAGCGAACGGGGAGCAGCCCAGAGUCUGAAUCAGCUUGUGUGUUAGUGGAACGGUCUGGAAAGUCCGACGGUACAGGGUGAUAGUCCCGUACACCAAAAUGCACAGGUUGUGAACUCGAAGAGUAGGGCGGGACACGUGGUAUCCUGUCUGAAUAUGGGGGGACCAUCCUCCAAGGCUAAAUACUCCUGACUGACCGAUAGUGAACCAGUACCGUGAGGGAAAGGCGAAAAGAACCCCGGCGAGGGGAGUGAAAAAGAACCUGAAACCGUGUACGUACAAGCAGUGGGAGCACCUUCGGGUGUGACUGCGUACCUUUUGUAUAAUGGGUCAGCGACUUAUAUUCUGUAGCAAGGUUAACCGUAUAGGGGAGCCGCAGGGAAACCGAGUCUUAACUGGGCGUUAAGUUGCAGGGUAUAGACCCGAAACCCGGUGAUCUAGCCAUGGGCAGGUUGAAGGUUGGGUAACACUAACUGGAGGACCGAACCGACUAAUGUUGAAAAAUUAGCGGAUGACUUGUGGCUGGGGGUGAAAGGCCAAUCAAACCGGGAGAUAGCUGGUUCUCCCCGAAAGCUAUUUAGGUAGCGCCUCGUGAACUCAUCUUCGGGGGUAGAGCACUGUUUCGGCUAGGGGGUCAUCCCGACUUACCAACCCGAUGCAAACUACGAAUACCGAAGAAUGUUAUCACGGGAGACACACGGCGGGUGCUAACGUCCGUCGUGAAGAGGGAAACAACCCAGACCGCCAGCUAAGGUCCCAAAGUCAUGGUUAAGUGGGAAACGAUGUGGGAAGGCACAGACAGCCAGGAUGUUGGCUUAGAAGCAGCCAUCAUUUAAAGAAAGCGUAAUAGCUCACUGGUCGAGUCGGCCUGCGCGGAAGAUGUAACGGGGCUAAACCAUGCACCGAAGCUGCGGCAGCGACACUAUGUGUUGUUGGGUAGGGGAGCGUUCUGUAAGCCUGCGAAGGUGUGCUGUGAGGCAUGCUGGAGGUAUCAGAAGUGCGAAUGCUGACAUAAGUAACGAUAAAGCGGGUGAAAAGCCCGCUCGCCGGAAGACCAAGGGUUCCUGUCCAACGUUAAUCGGGGCAGGGUGAGUCGACCCCUAAGGCGAGGCCGAAAGGCGUAGUCGAUGGGAAACAGGUUAAUAUUCCUGUACUUGGUGUUACUGCGAAGGGGGGACGGAGAAGGCUAUGUUAGCCGGGCGACGGUUGUCCCGGUUUAAGCAUGUAGGCUGAUUGUCCAGGCAAAUCCGGAUAAUCAAGGCUGAGGUGUGAUGACGAGGCACUACGGUGCUGAAGUAACAAAUGCCCUGCUUCCAGGAAAAGCCUCUAAGCAUCAGGUAACAUCAAAUCGUACCCCAAACCGACACAGGUGGUCAGGUAGAGAAUACCAAGGCGCUUGAGAGAACUCGGGUGAAGGAACUAGGCAAAAUGGUGCCGUAACUUCGGGAGAAGGCACGCUGGUGUGUAGGUGAAGUCCCUGCGGAUGGAGCUGAGACCAGUCGAAGAUACCAGCUGGCUGCAACUGUUUAUUAAAAACACAGCACUGUGCAAACACGAAAGUGGACGUAUACGGUGUGACGCCUGCCCGGUGCCGGAAGGUUAAUUGAUGGGGUUAUCCGUAAGGAGAAGCUCUUGAUCGAAGCCCCGGUAAACGGCGGCCGUAACUAUAACGGUCCUAAGGUAGCGAAAUUCCUUGUCGGGUAAGUUCCGACCUGCACGAAUGGCGUAAUGAUGGCCAGGCUGUCUCCACCCGAGACUCAGUGAAAUUGAACUCGCUGUGAAGAUGCAGUGUACCCGCGGCAAGACGGAAAGACCCCGUGAACCUUUACUAUAGCUUGACACUGAACAUUGAGCCUUGAUGUGUAGGAUAGGUGGGAGGCUUUGAAGCGUGGACGCCAGUCUGCGUGGAGCCAACCUUGAAAUACCACCCUUUAAUGUUUGAUGUUCUAACGUUGGCCCCU
rnacentral:rRNA from 1 species